rnacentral:rRNA from 1 species
CCUACGGGAGGCAGCAGUGGGGACUAUUGGACAAUGGGCGGAACUCUGAUCCAGCGACGCCGCGUGAGUGAAGAAGUCUCUAGGUCUGUAAAGCUCUAUCAGUAGGUAAGUAAGAAGUUACGGUCCUUGACUAAGAAGCCUCGGCUAACGACGUGCCAGCACUCGAGGUAAUACGUAGGCGGCAAGCGUUAUCAGGAUGGACUGGGUUUAAAGGGAGGGUAGACGGCGAUGUAAGUCUGAAGUGAAAUGCGGUGGCCCAACCCCCGGAUUGCUUUGGAAACUGUCUGGCUGGAGUGCAGGAGAGGUAGGUGGAAUUCGUAGGGUAGCGGGGAAAUGCGUAGAUAUUAGGAAGAA